AGAACAGGAGCCUUCCUUUACCGAUCCCAAUUUUACUUAUUUAUUUAUUUAUUUAUUUAUUUAUUUCUUUAAGGGAUAGAAACCAUCCCUUCACCAGCCCAGCUUUCACACUCUCCAACAGGCACGUGCAGCCUCUUGAUUGGCCCAUAACAGCCUCACAGAUGCCACGCAGCAGCCACUUAAUUGCUUGGUAACAAUCUUCAAGGGACAAACAGUCAAGGACACUUCUAAGUUCAGCCUAACGCGGCGGAUGACAGCCUCUAGCUCGCUCCCCGCUUGCUGCGUAGCCCAGUCCAGCCAGGCCCAGCUGAGACGCCCAGUUUGUGGUUUGCCCAAACAGUACUGGUGUGGCGAGGAUGGCAGUAAUAGUUAGCAGAAUGACCUCGUCACGUGGACUUUGCGUAUUACAUUACGUGGCGAAGGAAGAUGCAAGGCACAGAAACAAGUGGAGAUGACUCGUGCAUGGCGCCAACCCCUGACUCAAGGGAAAGGGAAACCAAGAGACCCUGAGCCAGGCUAGCGAGUCAUUUAUGGCUAAGCUCUCCCCAGCCAUCGCCCUGCAGCGCACCCAUUACAGCUUGAUGAAGGGAAAGAAAAACACUGAUGCUGGGAUAAUGGCAGGUGAGUGAGCGACAUUACACCACCACAACCACCACCACCAGCCCUGACCUUGCUUUAGGAAUGUAACAAUGCACACUCAGAAAUGCAGGGAAGGUCAGGUGACAAGUGUAGGCAGGUGAUGGGACAAGACUUGAACCAUAUUAUGAAACACUUCUGCGCCGCACCUCCACUACUUUUAAAAAGCUCUAGUUGAAGUGACACGGAUUCUUAAGGAUGUUUUUUACAUUUCCAGUGACAAAAUAACAAGACUUCUACAUUAUGAACGGAGAAACACCUGAGAACCCGGCGUAUAAUUUCUGUGUCCUUUGAAACAGUCGUGGUGAGAGAGUGAAGCGUUUCGGAAUACGGGCCACAGAAUCAGGUGAAGGUCGCCAGCCAGUCAGCGGCGGCGGACGGCGGGAGUACCAGCGUGGACUGUGGUGUCGAGGAACCUGCCUUGUUUCUUGAUUUUCAUACGUUUUAAGCGUUCUACAACCCAGAAAUUGUUAACGUUGAUCCUGGACAUUGUACAGUUAUAGCAGUUACUGUGUGGUUUUGUAUGUGCUGCCGUGGUGUGAUUAGUGACAGUGCCAAGUGGUGAAGUAGUACCUGCCUUGUUACUUAACUGUCGUACGUUCUCAAGCGUUCUCUGACCGGGAACUUAUUAGUGUUGAUAAUACAUGUUGGACAAUUGUAGUAGAGUACCUGUGUGCUUUUAUGUGUGCUCUUAAAGUGGUGUAGUUAGUGACAGAGCCUUAGAAAGCAAGUCAUGUGUCCUGAUUGGUAUUGAAAUGUAAUCUUUCUUUCGUUGUUUUGAGUUUCUACAACCCAGAACGCAUUGACGCUGAUCUUAAGCGAUGCACAGUAAUAGGAGAGUUAAAGUGUGUUUUCAUGUGCUCGUGACGUGGUGUAGUUAGUGACAAAGUGAGGCACGUGUCCACUCCUGCCUGGCCACCACACAAUGUUAUUACCACUCAGGCAACAGUGAGUGCUUGCCUCCGUCAGCCACAAAGCUCAGUAACACUGCCUGCUAUUGAAUUAAUGUGAUUUUCUUGUUUGCUUAUGCGUUUCUUUUACUGGGAACUCAUUAAUAUUGAUCUCAGACGUUGUGCAGUCAGAGUACCUAUGUGAUUUUAUAUGUGCUGUUAACGUAGUGUGGUGAGUGACAUAGACCCAGAUAGAUAGUCACUGGUCAAAGGCUGUGUUCUGGUAAAGGAAGAUGCGUGUCCACUCUUGCGCAGCCUCACCACGACCCAUAAUCUGAUUUUCUCUCAGGAAACAGUGAGUGAGUGCCUUCGUGAGUGACACAGGUGAGGAAGACUGGCAGGUACUGAAAUAAUGUUUUCACUCGGCUAACGCUCGGAAAGACUUGAGUGGCCUCGGCUUGCUGUUAAGUGUCGUGGUGUGGUGAGGUGCAGAACAACGUGUAUCUCAGGGAAGAAAGCAACUUUUGAACUCGCGGAAUAACACAGAGGAGCCCGGGAUGACCUGAGAGUUGGAGCAGUUGACGGUGGUGACGGUGAUGAAGUCGAAUAGGUCUUCAAUACUGGACAGGAGAUUACACCUUCUUUGACCGUGCCUUUGGUGAACUCUCUCAACAUUACCUGCAGCUGAAGACUCGCGCCCAAGCAGAGCCCGUCGCGUCCUCGUCAAGAAGCGGCCAGCCGGGGCCUCAGCGGC